UCUUUUCACCUUCCUUCCUCUCUGUAUCUGGGUGGUAAGUGGGUUGAGGUUGAGGAGGGUAAUAAGGGCCUGUAAAUUCCAGGUUGCGUUUCAGGGUCAUAAACAAACACUCCCCUGCAGGCCUGCAAUGACAAUCAGCAAAAUGAUGGGCCUUCCAUUCCAGAGGACCACCUACCCAUUAUCUAUAAUCACUUCAAACAAACCAUUCAUUUAAGAUCAACUUGUGUGUGUGUGUGUGUGUGUUGUGUCGUUUGUGUGCCCACGCAAGUUAUUUUGUGGCUGUGGGGUGCAGCUGCUUUUGAGUGGGCUGGUAGCACUGUAAAGAGAUUGUAUCUCUCUCACAAAACUUCUCCAUGCUAUUCGAUAGUAUUACCAUGGAAACAAUAUGGCCAUAGUUUAUUUUUAACCGUAUGGGUCUUCUGACACCUACACAGCACUUUUGGAUGAAACUGCAGCCAACAAUGUUUUAACAGCGAAAUACUAUACUACCCGUCCUCAACUGGCCUCAAAACGCUUCCUCCGAGAGAGAGCGAAGCUGUUGGGAUGCCAUCUGCAGUCAACUGUACAAUUACCAUGUGUGAGAUGACAAUUGAACUAAUCUCAUCACCCUGAACCACAUCGCAACUACUCUAUAAGUAUACUGAAUGUGGGGUCUCUAUUUCUAAUGACUUUUCCUAGUACUUUAGCCUAACACUGCUGUGGUUUCCAUUCAAACUUCUACUUAGAUCAUGCUCACUUGAGUAUCACCGUCCGAUAGCCUUGGCUUAACUAACCCAUGAGGAAAGCAUUCCAAUCCCCUGCUGGUUGCACAUGUUGAAAUCUAUGCAAUUUGGCCAGUCAGACACUUAGUCAUAUGUUGCUCAUGAGUUACAGCGACACUUGGAGACAAUCAUAGUAUCCACAUCCCCCAUGUCACCAGUGAGUGACUCAAACCAUUGGCCCGCCUGCAGGAGGGGAACCGCCAAUUUAAAUGACCUAACUGGGUGAAUCAUUCACGUGUCAACUUUCACAGGUCAAAUGGCGUCAGCUCUGAAAGUGGAACAGCCCACGGGAGAGGAAUGCUUAUCAACGCCGUCUCAGAAUGCAGACCAACAGUUACAUCACUACCUCAUCCUUCACGUGAACUUUGGGAGCAAGAAUCAGGGGGAAUGACAUCACCGGCUGCCUCCUUCCCUGACCAAUGUAGUGAGGACCUGAAAUGAAAUGACCUCAAGACGACAACAACUACACUCUAGCCAAAAUUUCACCAAUCACUUCUGCAGUCUGCGGAUGACUUGCAUAACGUGCUCUGAGGGAGGCACUGUUCCGAAAACGUUGGCGAUACCCAAUAAAUCAUUGGAAGCGUAUAUAUUAUGCGACUUUAUUUAAAAUGCACCUCUCCGUUUGCCAGCACCUCUUGACUAUUUGGAUGUGCAUCAACUGCUGCUUUUUCUAUAAAGUGCAUUAUGGGGGGAAAAGGAUGGAUCCCAAAUGCAAUAAAAACAUUCUUGACACAGGAUUAAAGUGGAUUAAUUUAUUAUAAACAUUGGAAAGGCAAAAUGUGAAACACAAUUGUCCUAAUGUUCUGGGAGUUGGAGGUGCUGGAUAACAUUUGGAUAAUUGGAAUAGUACCAUUGUGAGGAAUGUUGGCUUCAUUAUAACAGUAUAUUUGAUAUAACAAUAUUGGAGGAUGAUCAGAAAAAAGCAAUGCAUGCAAAUACAGCUCCUGCAAAUAUAACUGUACAGCCUCAAAUAGCAAGCACACACAAUUUUGACAUGCUCGCCCAACACACACCGUUUGAUUUGACAUGCAUGCCCAACACACACACACACCACCUGGGUGGUCCAUACCCAUACAGGAAGCCAUGGGAGGGCCACAGAGGAUACUUCUGCCUUACUGAGUUCUAGGGGUAAGGCUCAGACAUACGGCGCAGGCAUCCCAACCGGAACAUCCAUUGAUUGAACAUGGGCCGAUUCAGCCUUACAAAAUGUGUAAGUGUGCCACUGAGGUUCGGACCCUGGAAGGCAAACUAAAGAACAACCUUUUAAUAACAGCAGAACAGCCUUUACUGAACAGGUUUGAGGAUAUUAGAAACGACUAAAUAACGGAGUGAAAGCGAAUCCCUUUAUAGCAUCGAAUGUGGCUUUGUUGUACCAUUAUAGCUUCAGCACAUGAACUUCAUAAUGUCCCGUUUGUUCAAAUAAAACAAA